UACGAAGGGGGCUAGCGUUGUUCGGAAUUACUGGGCGUAAAGCGCACGUAGGCGGAUACUUAAGUUAGGGGUGAAAUCCCAGAGCUCAACUCUGGAACUGCCUUUAAUACUGGGUAUCUCGAGUCCGAGAGAGGUGAGUGGAAUUCCGAGUGUAGAGGUGAAAUUCGUAGAUAUUCGGAGAAACACCAGUGGCGAAGGCGGCUCACUGGCUCGGUACUGACGCUGAGGUGCGAAAGCGUGGGGAGCAAACGGG
rnacentral:rRNA from 1 species